AUUGAACGCUGGCGGAAUGCUUUACACAUGCAAGUCGAACGGCAGCACGGACUUCGGUCUGGUGGCGAGUGGCGAACGGGUGAGUAAUACAUCGGAACGUGCCCAAUCGUGGGGGAUAACGUAGCGAAAGCUACGCUAAUACCGCAUACGAUCUAAGGACGAAAGCGGGGGAUCGCAAGACCUCGCGCGAUUGGAGCGGCCGAUGGCAGAUUAGGUAGUUGGUAGGGUAAAGGCCUACCAAGCCGACGAUCUGUAGCUGGUCUGAGAGGAUGAUCAGCCACGCUGGGACUGGUACACGGCCCAUACUCCUACGGGAGUCAGCAGUGGGGAAUUUUGGACAAUGGACGCAAGUCUGAUCCAGCCAUUCCGCGUGCAGGAUGAAGGCCCUCGGGUUGUAAACUGCUUUUGUACAGAACGAAAAGGCUCUGGUUAAUACCUAGGGCUCAUGACGGUACUGUAAGAAUAAGCACCGGCUAACUACGUGCCAGCCGCCGCGGUAA
rnacentral:rRNA from 1 species